UACGAAGGGGGCUAGCGUUGUUCGGAAUUACUGGGCGUAAAGCGCACGUAGGCGGAUAUUUAAGUCAGGGGUGAAAUCCCAGAGCUCAACUCUGGAACUGCCUUUGAUACUGGGUAUCUCGAGUAUGGAAGAGGUGAGUGGAAUUCCGAGUGUAGAGGUGAAAUUCGUAGAUAUUCGGAGGAACACCAGUGGCGAAGGCGGCUCACUGGUCCAUUACUGACGCUGAGGUGCGAAAGCGUGGGGAGCUAACAGG
rnacentral:rRNA from 1 species